rnacentral:rRNA from 1 species
AUACGGAAGGUCCGGGCGUUAUCCGGAUUUAUUGGGUUUAAAGGGAGCCCAGGCGGAGAUGCAAGCGUGACGUCAAAUUUCGGGGCUCAACCCCGUCUCGCGUCGCGAACUGCGUCCCUUGGUUGCGGGAAGGGGAGGCGGAACUCGUGGUGUAGCGGUGAAAUGCAUAGAUAUCACGAAGAACUCCGAUCGCGAAGGCAGCCUUCCGGCCCGUCAACGACGCUCAUGCUCGAAGGUGCGGGUAUCAAACAGGAUUAGAUACCCUGGUAGUCCGCACAGUAAACGAUGGACACCCGCGGUUUGGCCUGUAUGGCUGAGCCGCCAAGCGAAAGCGUUAAGUGUCCCACCUGGGGAGUACGCCGGCAACGGUGAAACUCAAAGGAAUUGACGGGG